rnacentral:rRNA from 1 species
UACGGGAGGCAGCAGUGGGGAAUAUUGCACAAUGGGCGCAAGCCUGAUGCAGCCAUGCCGCGUGUAUGAAAAAGGCCUUCGGGUUGUAAAGUACUUUCAGUCGUGAGGAAGGUGUUAAGGUUAAUAACCUUAGCAAUUGACGUUAGCGACAGAAGAAGCACCGGCUAACUCCGUGCCAGCAGCCGCGGUAAUACGGAGGGUGCGAGCGUUAAUCGGAAUUACUGGGCGUAAAGGGCACGCAGGCGGUUAAUUAAGUUGGAUGUGAAAUCCCCGGGCUUAACCUGGGAAUGGCAUUCAAGACUGGUUAGCUAGAGUCUUGUAGAGGGGGUAGAAUUCCAUGUGUAGCGGUGAAAUGCGUAGAGAUGUGGGGGAAUACCGGUGGCGAAGGCGGCCCCUGGACAAAGACUGACGCUCAUGUGCGAAAGCUGGGGAGCAAACAGGGAUUAGAUACC